GGGGUCAGAGAGCCACUUAAGUAGGUAGUCUGUCCCUUGUCUGCCUUCAGAGAUGCUGCUGGGCUGCCUCAGACUCAGCCCCGCUGCUGUGUAGGCUUCCUCUGGCUUUUGUUUAAACGGGUGUGAUUAGAACUAUCUUUGUAUGGUUGAUGCCCUUCCUCCCACUAAGCUCUAUUGUCUCCCGUUGAUCUCAAACUGAUAGGCUGGCUAUGAAACUCUCAAGCCAGAGGGCUUCAGUUUGCUGGUGUUUGUGUGGGUGGGACCUGCCAAGCCUUAUCACCUGUCUCCCUGCUUUCAGCUCUCCUUCUUGGGGGGUAGGUAGAUCUGUCCCACAGGUGCUGUUGGUGCUAGUCAAAACUUCUGCCCAGCUCUGUGCCAACAACUAGCAGUGCUGGGCCAGCUGCAGUGUCGCUCAGAUUUGUGUUGGUAACUCACCGUGCUUUUCAGCCCAGUGUUGUUAUCCUGGACUGUGGGUUGCAAAGGCCAUGGGAGAAGUGCGGUAUCUGAACCAGAGUGCUGAGGAGUUCAAGUAUGAUCCUCAGGCCAGUUGUACUUCCUGGUGUGGCAGCACCCUGCCCUGCCUCAGUUUGCCCUCCUUCGGCUACACCACUGUCCAACUAGUCACAGUGAAAUGAAUCUGGUACUUUGGUUGGAAGUGUGGAGAUCACUUGCUUUCUACAUCUCUGACUGGGAACUGUGCUCUGGAGCUGUUUCCAUUUGGCCAUCUUGGUGGAAGUCAAUAGGUUCAAAAUCUCACAUAUCUUCCUUUCAUUAGCUGGUUGUUAUGUAGACAUGGUUGUGUAGUUGCUUUAUAGGGUCUGUGGGCUAUGUGCUUAAGUAUUUGUGAUAUCACAUUGUGUUCUUUUGAUCCCAUGUGUAGUACUCCCUAAAAGACUUCCUACAGGGCUGAUAUUGUUGAAAUAAAUUUGCUUAGCAUUUGCUUCUCUGAGAAGGAUUUUGUUUUCCCUUCAUUUAUGAAGUUUAGUUUGGUGGAAAAUAAAAUUCUUGUUUGGAGUAUUUUUUUUUUUUUGAGGAUGGUGAAAAUAGGGCCCCCAGUCUCUCGUGGCUCACAUGAUUUGCAGUGGACCUAUCAGCAGAAGCCUGAUAGUUUCCCUGUGUGUGACCUGACUUUUUUUCUCUAGCUGUCUUUAAGAUUUUUUCUUUUAUGUUCAUCUUGGUAAAUGUGAUAACUAAGUGUCUUUGGGAUGGUCAACUUGUAUCUAGGCAAAAUUCUCAGUAUUUCUUGAAUUUGAAUGUUAACAUCUCUAGCAAGAUUAGGAAAAUUUUUGUGGACUGUAUCCUCAAAUAUAUUUUGAAAGUUGCUUAUUCUGUCUUCUCUGUGAUGCCAAUGAGACAUAGAUUUGGUCUCUUUAUAUGUAUUUCUCAGGUUUUAUUCACUUAAAUUCUUUUAUUUUUCUCAGACUGAGUUGAUUUGAAGAGCUGAUCUUUGAGCUCUGUGAUUCUUUGCUCAGCUUGGUCUAUUACAUUGUUAGUAUUUCUGAUUGUAUUAUGAAAUUCUUAUAUUCUGUUUCCCCCCCAACUCAAGGAGUUGAGUUUGAGGCUUUAAAAAUGUGUUUUUUUCUUUUAGCUCUUGAAUUGUUUUACUGGGUUGCUUGGCUUCUUUCGAUUGGAUUUCACUUUCUCCUGGAUCUUGAUGAGCUUCUUUGCCAUCCAGGUCUGAAUUCCAUGUCUGUCAUUUAAGUCAUUUCAUGUUGGUUAGGAACAAUUGCUGUGGAGCUAGUGGGCUCAUUUGGAGCUAAGGAGACACUCUGGAUUUUUAAUUUGCCAGAAUUCUUGGAGUGGUUCUUUCUCAUCUGAGACUGUUGGUGUGCCUUUAACCAAGAUAUUAAUUGAGUAUAGUCAGUUGGCUUCAUUUCUGGAAGUUUUAGAGGGCUAAUGCUCUGUACAGUCUUUUUUUGUUGAAUUUUUGCCCUUGAUUUCAUAGAAAGGAGAAUUAGCAAAGUGUGUCUUUGGGGUUUUUUAAAAUUUAUUUAUUUAUUUAUUUAUUUGGUUUUGUAGUUUUGGCUGUGAUUUAGUAGGUGGUGCAUGAGAGCAAUGGAUGGUAGAAAGGCUCUUAUUGAGCCACACUGCUCCUUUGGGUAUCCUCAUGUUUGGAGCUGUGCUCUACAGUACCAGUGGGAGAGAAGUUUUGAUGCCCUUACCAGGCCUGCUCCUGGGUCUUGGGGCAGCCACCUCUGAUCACUUACACUGCAUCCACAAUUUUUAAAAAUUGUUGUUAGAUGUUUCUUUCCAUGGGGCUCCACUAGAGAUCUAGUGGGGAAGUAGGCCCUACCUUUACUGAGCCAGCCCUGUGGAAAGAGACACACUUAAGUCCCACAGAAGCCAACAAACCUGUGUGACCUGUUUUCUGAGUGUGCACUCCUCCCCUGCUUGAGUUAGGCACAGAUCCUGACUCAGCAUUCUGUUUAUAUUAAUUUUUAAAAAAUGUAAUAGUGAUAAUAAAUUCACAAAAUUUACCAUCUUAGCCAUAUCUAAGUAUACAGUUUAGGAGUGUUAAGUACAUUCAAAUUGUUGUGUGACCAAUCUCCAGAAUUUUCCAAAACUGGGAUUCUACACCUAUUAGACAGUAACCCUUUAUUCUCACUUCGACCCAUCUUAUGGAAACCACUGUGCUGCCUGAUAUUUCAAUGAAGUCAACUACUCUAGAUACCUCAUAUAAGAGGAUCAUGCAGUAUUUGUCUUUUUGUGAUUUGGCUUAUUUCACUUAGCAUAAUGACCUCAAGAUUCAUCCAUGUUGUAGCAUGUGUCAGAUUUUCUUUCCCUUGUAAAAAUGUGUGUGUGUGUGUGUGUGUGUGUGUGUGUGUACUACACAUUUAUAUCACUUUCUAUAUAUCACAUUUUGGUGUGAUGACUAGGAAAUCAUAGCCAAAUUCAAUAUCAGGAAGCUUUUCCCUAUGUUUUCUUCAAAAAGUUUUAUAGUUUUAGGUCUUACAUUUAGGUCUUGAAUCCAUUUUGAGUUAAUUUUUACAUAUGGUUUAAAGUAAGAGUCCCACUUAAUCCCUUUUUAUGUAGAUAUCCAGUUUUCUGAGGACGAUCUGGGAAAAGACUGUCCUUUUCCCAUUCUGUCAUCUUGACACCUUUGUUGAAGAUCAUUUGACCAUAUAUGUGAGUGUUUAUUUCUAGGCUCUCUUUUAUUCCAUUGGUCUAUAUAUAUUGGUCUAUUCCAUAUACCUGUCUUUUGUCAUUACUACACUGUUUCGAUUAUGGUGACUUUGUAGUAAAUUUUGAAAUUAGAAGGUGUGAGAUCUUCAGCUUCAAGAUUGUGUUGGCUGUUUGGGCUCUGAGACUUCAUGUGAAUUUCAGGAUAAAUUUUCCUGUUUCUGCAAAAUUGCCAUUAGGAUUUUUAUAGGGAUUGCAAGAAACAUUAAAAAUGUGUGUCAUUUUCUGAAGUAUUGACCUCUUAACAAUGUUAAGUCUUCUAAUUCAUAAGCAUGUCAUGUCUUCGUUUCUCUCUUCUUUAAAAAUCACAAUGCAGUGUUUAGAGAAAUUAAUGUACAAGUCUUUCAUCUUUGUUUAAAUUUAUUCCUACAUAUUCAUCCAUUUUUAUGUUAUUAUAAGUGGAACUGUUUUCUUGACUUCCUUUUUAGAUUAUUAAUAUAAAAACACAAUUGAUGUAUGUGUAUUAAUUUUGUAUUCUGCAACUUUGCUGAAUUCAUUUAUUCUAAUGGAUUUUUUAGGUAGAAUUGUUAGGGCUUUCUACAUGUAAGAUCAUGUUGUCUGUGAACAGAGAUAAGUUUACUUCUUCCAUUCAGAUUCAGAUGACUCUCAUUUCUUUUUCCUGAAUGUUGUUCUAGCUAGAACUUUCAGUACAGUAUUAAAUAGAAGUGGCCAAAACAUAAUUUUUGUCUUGUUUUCAUUCUUAGAAAGCUUUCAGUGUUUCACCAUCAAGCAUGAUAUUAUCUGUGGGCUUUUCCUAUAUGACCUUUAUUAUGUUGAGAUUGAUUUUUUUUGUGUGUUUCUUGUGAAUUUAAUGUUGUUUUAUUAUGAAGCUCUGCUAAUUCUUAGUUCUUUGGAUUGUAUUAUGUCUACUGACCUAAUGUUAGGUUUACUGAUUCUUUAUUCUGCCAGUCAAAGCUACUAAGUUUCUUGAGUAAAUUUUUCAUUUCAGUUACUGUACUUUUUAAUGCCAGAAUUUCCAUUGGUUAACCUAAAAAAUAAUUUCUACCUCUUUAUUCUCUAUUUAAAGACAUUCUCUCAUAGCUUCCUUUUCUCAUUCAAGUAAAAUUAGUUCCUGGAAGCUAUUUAUAAAGAUAAUGUUGACAUCUUUCUUAAAUUUGAUCUGAGCUCUCACUGUCUUUUUGCCUCUUUUUUUCCCUAUGUUUGUGUCACUCUUUCCUAUUUCCUUGCACAUUUUUCUUUUCUUGUUAAAAAGUGAACGUUCUAGAUAAAUAUCUCAUUCCAUCAAUUAAUUCUGUGCCUCGUGGGUCUUGUUUUUGUUGUUGUUGCUUGUUCGUUUAGUUAUUUGGCUAGACUAUUUCAGUGAAUUGUUUAUCCUCCCAAGUGUGAAGCCUUUGGUUUUGCUCUUCACAUGGAGCAGCCUUGGGUGUGUGCACAGUUAUCCUGGCCCUGGCACUGUCUGUUUUUCUUAUUAGUUACGCCUUUAUUUUUUGUCAUAGCCAGAUUUUAGGCCCCACUCCUUGCCAGGUGACCCUUCUAUUCUUCUAGACAAUUCCGUGGGGCAUGAAUUUUUUCACACUAUGAUCCAAUUAAGCUUGAGCAGGGUAGCUUGUCUGAGGUUUAUUCUGACCCCAGGAGGGAUCUUAGAUUUCUCUGGCUCUCUGUGGUGAACUGGCCUAUGGUUUGUUGUUGUUAAUUAAGAAAAUCUAUUGUUUUUGAGAGCAUUCUAAAGCUUGACCUUCUCUACCCUCUGUUUCAAAAAAAGUUAGUUCAUUUGGGGAGAGUUUUAGAGCUCUGUUCUUAUGAACUGCCUCUCCCCUUGGGUAAAAUCUUUAAGUCACUCUUCUGCAAGCUUGAUGGGGAAGUCUUUCUCUGUUUUGGAACCUGAAUUGAGCUUGUAUGAGGGUGAUGGGGGCCCUAGUUUUCUUUGACUGCUACAUAUGGGAUCUCUCUGUCCUAUGAGUGGGUACCAGUUAGAGGAAGGGAUCUCCCCACCUUUCAGAUGCCCUCACCAGGAAUUUAGCCUCCUCCACUCAAUUGGAGGGCAUGAGAAAUGCUAGGGACCUAAGCUGUGGAUAAGAAAUUGUAUCCCUUCAAGGCAGGCUGAGGGGAUAGGGGGCCCUGCAGUCUUAGCCACAUCCAUCCAGAGUAGAGCUUCUGUCAAGGUUAGUUGAGAUUAGGGGAAAGGGAAGAAGUUACCUUGCCUUUUUUUUUUUUUUUUUUUUUUUUCUUUUUUUAAAAACCAAGUCGUAGUAGAUUUUUUUUUGAAUAAUAAUUUUUUGUUUUACUGUAUGCCCUUGGGACAAUUUUCACAAAUUAUUGUCUUUCAAAUAGCUUUUAUUGGUCAUUUUUAUUUCAAUAAACAGUCACUUUAUAAGUGUUCUCAUGUGACUAUCCCAGAUGAUCCUUACCAAUUUUUGAUCACUUACUUUCUGGCACAAUGAUAUUUCAGGCUCUCCUGUCUUUCACUGCCCCAGUCUUGAAUGUAGCCAACUUCUCACAGAAUCUUCCUUUCCAUUCAGAGAACAGCGUUUACAAAUUAGAUAUGUAUGCCAGCUGUGUUAUUUGCUAUUCUGUGGUGUCAUUGCUUUCAGUCCCUUUCAAGCUGACAGAGCUAGCAGGAAAAUAUGUAUGUAUAUAUAUUCGUUCUGAUUCCUUUAAUUUCAGUCCAGUGCUAUAAGUUCCUUCCUCUUGUUCCUGUGCUCUUAUUCCACAGUGAGAAACCUGUGAGUAAUAUCAAUAUAUUUUUUUAUUUGCUCUAUCUUACAAUAAAUGUUAAAAAUUGACACCAAUACAGUUACCAGUAAUAAACGUUAAGUAAAAUUUAGGAUUCCUUUGCAAUUGACACUGUUCUUAUAUUAUCCCUUGGAGGAUAAAACAGCAUACUUGGUUCAAGAUAUAUUUGAGUUAAUUUUAAAAAACAAUGUAGGUGUUAUUAAUUUGAUACACAACUUGUUUAAAGUUAGUUUCAGAAUUCUAUCCUUUCUAAUUUUAGAUUUUGAAGAUGUAAAAUCUUAACAUGAUUUAAAGUAAAAAUUAUACAGCCCCUGUUCCCACCUAUUUUAUAUAGGUAACACUUUUAUUAGUUUCUGGUUGCUCCUAUAUUUCUUUUUGCAAAUUUAAAAUUAUUAUAAUAAAUAUAGACCAGGCAUGGUGGCUCAUGCCUAUAAUCCUAACACUUUGGGAGGCGGGGGUGGGAGGAUUGCUUGAGGUCAGAAGUUUGAAACCAGCCUGGGCAAUAUAGUUAGACUUUAUGGAAAAAAUUAAUAUAUUCAUAUUCUUUUUCCUUUUUCUUCUUGCACAAAAGUUUGCAUAAUAUAAAUGCUCUCUUGAAACUUUUAUCUCUUAAUAAUAUGAUGUGGAAAUGGUAACAUUUUACAGACAGCUUUACUUUUUAAAGCGCUGAAUUGUUUAAAUGGUUCCAUGUAUAAAUAUAAUUUAAUCAGCCAGUUUUCUUUUUUAAAAAACAACAUAUGUAUUUGUCAUAGAGAUGGCAUCUCGCUAUGUUGCUCAGGCUGAUUUUGAACUCCUGGUCUCAAACAGUCCUCCUACCUCAGUCUCCCAAAGUGCUGGGAUUACAGGCCUGAGCCAUUCUGCUUGGCCAUUCAAAGCAUUUUCUAACCAAUGGACAUUUGACUUGUUUUUCAUACUUGGUACAAAUAACACUAUUUUAACAAUCUUAUAUCUAAUUUUUUCUUUUUUUGAGAUGUAUUCAGGUUAAAUUCCUGAACGUGGGAUUUCUGAAUCAAAGCUUAAAUACAUAGUUUUGUUAGAUAUUGCCAAAUUCCCUAUCAUAGGGGAAUUUAUUAGUUCCCUAGGGCUAUAAUAACAAAUUACCACAAACUGAGUGGCCUAAAACAACAGAUAUGUAUUCCCUCACUGGAAGCUAGAAGUCUAAGAUUAAGGUGUUCGCAGAGCUAUGCUCUCUAAAAAGUCUAAGGGAGGAUCCUUUCUUAACUCUUUCUAGCUUCUAGUGGUUGCUGACAAUCUUGGAUCUCUUUGGCUUAUAAUUGCAUAAGUCCAACCCCUGCCUCUGUUUUCACAUGGUGUUCAUCCAUGUGUGUGUGUGUGUGUGUGUGUGUGUGUGUGUGUGUACAAACUGUAUAUUUCUGAAUUUAGUAAGGAUACUAGAUAUUGGAUUAGGGCCCAUCUUAAUCCAGGAUGACCUCAUCCUAACUUGAUUGAUUACAUUUGUAAAGACCCUAUUUCUAAAUAAGGUCACAUUCAUAAGUACUAGGGGUUACGAUUGAACAUAUCUUUUUGUAGGACACAAUUAAACCAACUAUAAUGUGCUACCCUUUUUACUGCCAUUUGCUACAAAAGAGUGUCUGCUUCCUCAUUGUCUUCGCAAAAGACAGUGUUGCCAAAUCAUUGAUGUAUUUGCUAACUAUAUAGGUCCUACAGGAUAUCUCAGCAUUUCUAUUUCUCUUAUUAUGGAUGCUGACUGUCUUUUAUAUUUUACACCAUUUUGUCUCUUUUUAGGCUGUAAUUAAAAGUGUCAUGAAAAUUUCAAACAUUCAGAAAAGUAGAGGGCACUUUUUAAUGAGUGCGUAUUUCGGGCAUCUGGCUUAGUUGUCAACAUUUUACCAGUCUUGUUUUAUCCUAUCAUUCAUCUGUAAGAACUUUAAUAUGUAACUAACAUCUAGAACUUAAAAGACAACAUAAUAGCAAUACCAUCAUUAUACCUAACAAAAUUAUAAAUUAUUCCUUAAUUUUAUCAAAUCCCAGUCUGAGCUGAGGUUGUCUAAAAAAUCUUUUUAGUAUUUAAUAUAUUAACUGAAGGCAUUGGACAAGAUUGUGCCUCCUGUCCUUUUUCAUUUAAAAAUUCAGAGAUUUACUCUCCAAUUGACAAUAAAUGAAGAGAAACCUUGCUAUUGUAAGCCUUGAACUACUGCUGUGUAAUGAUCUCAUUACUUACUGGUGAAUGCCGCAGAGCACUGUUUCCAAGAUUUCUUCAGUUAGUAAUAGUCUUAUUUAUUGUGUUACCAUUAGAUUGUUAUCUAUUUCUUCCCUGGAAAUAGAGCGACUUGGUUCUGUAAUGGGACUUUGUUCUGAAACCAUUUUUCAGAUAUGACAGUAGACUAUAAUGUCACUUUAAUUUUGCUGUAGGCUUAAUAGGGAGUGAAAAAUGUCAUUGGUGAUGGUAUGAUUACAGGCCCAUCAUUUUUUUUCUCAUUUGCUAUAUCCUAUUCUUCCAGAAUCUUGGCUUUACCUUUUCACUGUUCCCCACAUAUCUGCAUUACUGCUACAAGCUAUGUGCUAUCCCUCCUAGACAGAGUCAGACUUGCAGGGUUCAAAGCUCACUUCUGCCAUUCACCAACUAUGGUAUUGGGUACUGUUUCCUUAUCUGUGACAGAGAAAACUAGGAUAUCAUGGGGGUGAUGGUGGCGAAGGGCGGGGGCAGAGGAGGAGCGAGCCGGGCCAGGUGCUUGCUGUGCCUUGAGUCCAGUCCUGAGCAGGCCUCCUUCAGACCAGCUUAACGUGACUGAGCUCAGUGGAGCCUGAGCAAGGAGCGGGUCCAUUGUGGAGCUGAAGGGCGGGAGGAACAUGAUGCUGCUGAGAUGGUUUCACCCAAAUAUCACUGGUGUGGAGGCAGAAAAUCUGUUGACCAGAGGAGUUGAUGGCAGUUUCUUGGCAAGGCUUAGUAAAAGUAACUUUCCGUUACUAGAAAUGAAGUCUCCACACUUUCCAUUAGUGGAAAUGAAGCUGUCACCCACGUCAACAUUCAGGACACUGGUGAUGACUGUGGCCUGUCUGGAGGUGAGAAGUUUGCCACUUUGGCUGAGUUGGUCCAGUAUUACACAUGGAACAUCACAGGAAAUUAAGAGAAGAAUGGAGAUGUUACUGAGCUUAGGAAUCCUCUGAACUGUGCAGAUCCCACCUCUGAAAGGUGGUUUCACAAACACCUUUCUGGAAAGGAAGCAGAGAAAGUAUUAACGGAAAAAGAAAAGCAUGGUAGCUUUCUUGUUUGAGAGCCAGAGCCACACUGAAGAUUUUGUUCUCUCUGUGCGCACUGGCGAUGACAAAGGGGAGAGCCAUGAUGGCAAGUCUGAAUUGACCGUGUCAUGAUUUUCUGUCAGGAACUGAAAUACAUAUUGGUGGAGGAGAAUGGUUUGAUUCUUUACCAGAUCUUGUGGAACAUGACUAGAAGAAUCCUAUGGUGGAAACACUGGGUACAGUACUAUAACUAAAGUAGCCCCUUGACUCAUAUAAAUGUUGCUGAAGUAGAAAGCAGAGUUUGAGAACUAAGCAAAUCAGCUGAGACCAUGGAUUAGGUAAAACAAGGCUUUUGGGAAGAAUUUGAGAUACUACAACAGGAGUGCAAACUUCUCUCUAGCCAAAAACAGGGUCAAAGGCAAGAAAACAAAAAUAAAAAUAGAUAUAAAAACAUCCUGCCCUUUGAUCAUACACCAGGGUUGUCUUUUACACAACAGCAAUCCCAGUGAGCCUGUUCGAGAUGAUGUCAAUGCGCAAAUAUCAACAUGUCUGAAUUUGAAACCAAGUGCAACAAUUCAAAGCCCCCAAAAAGUUACAUUGCCACACAAAGCUGCCUGCAAAACAUGGAGAAUGACUUUUGGUGAAUGGUGUUCCAAGAAAACUCCGGAGUGCUUGUCAUGACAACAGAAGUGGAGAGAGGAAAGAGUAAAUGUGUCAAAUACUGGCCUGAUAAGUUUGGUUUAAAAGAAUAUGGGGUCAUGUGUGUUAAUGUCAAAGCGCCACUAAUGACAUUAUGCUAAGAUAACUUAAAGUUUCAAAGGUUGGACAAGAGAAUAUGGAGAGAACAGUUUGGCAAUAUCACUUUUGGACCUGGCUGGACCACAGAGUGCCUAGCAACCCUGGGGGAGGCACUGCAGUGCUGGAAUUGGCCAGACAGGGACGUUCAUUGUGAUUGAUAUUCUUAUUGACAUCAUCAGAGAGAAAGGUGUGGACUGCAAUAUUGAUGUUCUCAAAACUAUCCAGAUGGUGCAGUCUCAGAGGUCAGGGGUGGUCCAGAUAAUUUAUCUAUAUGGCGGCCCAGCAUUAUAUUGAAACACUACAAUGCAGGACUGAGGAAGAGCGGAAGAGGAAAGGGCAAGAAUAUGCCAAUAUUAAGUAUUCUCUAGCAGACCAGAUGAGUGGCGAUCAGAGCCCUCUCCCGCCUUGUACUCCAAUGCCACCCUGUGCAGAAAUGAGAGACCAUGCUAGAGUCUAUGAAAAUGUGGGCCUGAUGCAGCAGUAGAGAAGUUUCAGAUGAGAAAGGCUGCCAAAACUUUGGCACAGAAAUAGAUGUGAACUUUCAACCUCUCCCUAAAAAGAUCAAGAACAGAUGCAAGAAAGUUUAUGUGAAGACAGAAUUUGGAUUUGGAAGGCUUGUAUUGUGGAUGACUACCUUUUGAUAAGCAAAAUUUGAAACCAUUUAAAGACCACUGUAUUUUAACUCGGCAAUACCUGCUUCCCAAUUGCUCAUUUCCUCAGACAGGAAGAAAUCAUCUCUACAAUGUAGACGUUAUAUUUUAUGGAAUUUUGUUUUAAAUUGAGGAAGCAGUUAAAUUGCGUGCUAUCUUGCUGAUUAUGGGGAUUCAAAUUCUAGUUGUGUUAGCAUUUAUUGUGUUACCAUUAGAUUGUUAUCUAUUACUUCCCUGCCAAUAGAGCUUUUUUUUUUUUUUUCUUUUUAUAACUUUAACCAGCUUAAUUCCUUUUUCAUUGUAGAGAAUGAUAAAAAUAAUUUUGGAAAAUUAAGUAACAUCUUAGAAAAGUGAAAACAAUCCUAUUUAUUAUCAUGUACCCAGUAGUGGAUAAUUCAUUUUGAUGGUUUCUAUUUUUGGCAAAAUGAGAAUUAAGCCAGUGCCUGAGACUGUCAGAAGCUGACUGGUCUGCCUUUUCAUUGUCAUUAAAGAGUCAUAGAAAAAAAAAAUCAUGGAUAUUUAUAAAUUAAGAUAAAAGGUGUGGCCUUUUUAUUUUUAUUUUUUUCAGCCAACGACCAAUUAGUUUGGCUGUUGACUGAGAAGGUUGUGGUGGGAAAACAUUUGCCAUAUUUUCUUUGCAUUUGAGUAAUUGUCUUGUAUUUAGAAAAAAUAUCUAUGAAUGACCAGUGUUUUGGGUUGUCAAAUGUUGCCGACAAACUUACCCCAAAACUUUAGUGGCUUAAAACAACCCCACCCGCAACUGUUCUUCAAUCUGAGCUGGGCUCAGCUGGGCUGUUUUUCUGCCAGCCUGCAGGUGGCCACUCAUGUUCAUUGGGUCAGUGGAGAGAUUGGGAUGGCUGGGCUUCUCUCUCUGCCUGCAACCCUGAGUCUCUCCACCUCCACAUAGUCUCUUUCAGUGGCCUGUCUGGCAGGGUGGCUAGACCUCUGACACUCAGCUCAGAGCUCCCAAGAGCUUGAAAGCAGAAGUGGCCAGGCCUUCUGAACACUGAAGUCCAGAAUUGUCACAGCAUCCCUUCUACUGCCCUCUAUGGAUGAUGAUGAUUUUUUUUUUCUAAUCAGAAGAGAGCUGGAGUAUGCCCUCUAUUUACUAAACAAGCCGCAAGUCCAGCCCAGAUUCAAGAAAAGGGUAUGAAGUGGAGGUGCAGUUAAUUAGGGGGCCACUAGUCUAAUGGAUCGUCAUAGCCAGUGUCAUGGAAAACCAAGGAUAUUAACAAAAGUAGAAGUUACUAGUGACCUUGGGAAUCCGAAUCUGCUUACAGUAGCUGGGACAAGCUGAAAGUCAGACUGAGAAAUAAAGAGAGGGCCUUCAAGAAGCUUCCUGAAUGACUUUUGCCAGUAUUGAGCCUAUUUUUGGAACCAGCACUUGGGGAAACUGAUCCUGUGAAGAUGGAUAUAUUUAGGGACACAGGGCUUUUGAAAGCAGCACCACCCCAUCAUGUUUCCCGUACUUGAGAAAUGUGAUGCUUUCUUCAUGCCACUGGGUUUUUAGCCAUGCCACAGUGAGAAGGAACAGCCCUAACAGGCCUCCAACCAGGUUGAAUGAGCUCAUUUUUGUUUCAGACAACUAGUAGAAUUUGCUAAUUUUCUACUUUAAGUGCCUUUUCCAAAGACAUCCCUCUUUGCCUCCUAUGUUGAAUCAUAAUUCACUGUGGACAUUUCAAUGAAAAUAUCAUUGGUUGACUUUUGUAACAGUAAUAAAAUGCUAAGGCAUCUUUCCUGUAAAGCUAUGGUCUCCUUGGACUCUUCUGACUUUGGCUCCUGGAAGGAAGGCUUAGAUCCAGGCCUGGUAGUAAUUCCUUUCUGAGGUCUCUCAGUCCCUUGAGACUCUGAGGUAGUGUGGCUGCCAUUCUCACAGACAAAAUGUACUUUAGCCCCCACCCCGGCCCCUCAAUAUUCAUUGAACUUUGAGUUGCUUCAGAACACAGGUAUGGCCUAAAAGUAUUCCCUUAUUAGGGAAAUGUCAUGACUACUGUCUUCUUGUCAAACUUACAAAGAAAAAGUUUCCAGUUCAGUAUUUGCAGCAAGAAGCUUGAAUCCUGAAUCCUGUUUUUAUAAUUGCAUUGUUACAUUGACUCAUUCUCCAUUUUGCUUUGGUUUUGUCUUGACUUGACUUUGGAGGUAAAAUCUUUCACCAGCACACGAGAGUUUGAUUUGUACAAAUACAUUUCCUGUUUUAACAUCUCUGCCUAUUGCUUAACAUCAGUUAUUUUUAUACUCUGAAUGGAAACACCUGAUCUUGACCAGCUUUGUUUAAGAUACUGAUUUCAUUUAGAUUUCUCUCCGCGAGGUCAGCAAACUUUCAUGUUCUUAUGUAAACUUAGGCCAAGGCCAGAGUUAUCAUAGUCCCUAGGUUGCUAAGGCUUAUCAUGUGUUUGGUAAAAGAGUGAUUGCAGGUUCUCAGAUCAGGUUACUUUACAUGGGUUUUUAAAACAAGUAGUAGAAACAAAAAAAGUUCCAAAGAGAUGGUUUCUGAGGACGUCAAAGACCCCAGGGCCAAGGCAGUCAGUAAUGGGUGAAUGAGGUUAUUUGGAAAGUCGGUGUGACAGACACAAGGAUGCUGAGUACUAUGUUGCUGGUAGGUAUUAAGUAUGCACAAUCUUCCAUAGCUCACUAAGGAUUUUAAAAUUAUAAGCAAAGAAUUGUAUAUUUUGGGGUGAAUUAUCUGGCACAUGGCAUUGGGGUUU